GGCCCAAAUUUGGAGUAGGUAGAUUAGUAAGAUCGUCUGAUUAUACUAAUCUAAACUACUUCAAGUUUGUGCCC
rnacentral:pre_miRNA from 1 species